UGAGGAAUAUUGCACAAUGGGCGCAAGCCUGAUGCAGCAACGCCGCGUGAGGGACGAAGGCCUUCGGGUCGUAAACCUCUUUUCUGGGGGACGAGUAAGGACGGUACCCCAGGAAUAAGUCUCGGCUAACUGCGUGCCAGCAGCCGCGGUAAAACGUAGGAGGCGAGCGUUAUCCGGAUUUACUGGGCGUAAAGCGUACGCAGGUGGCUUCGUUAGUCGGACAUGAAAGCUCCUGGCUUAACUGGGAGAGGUUGUUCGAUACUGCGGGGCUUGAGGUUGGGAGAGGGACGUGGAAUUCCCGGUGUAGUGGUGGAAUGCGUAGAUAUCGGGAGGAACACCAGUGGCGCAAGCGGCGUCCUGGCCCACACCUGACGCUGAGGUACGAAAGCGUAGGUAGCAAACAG
rnacentral:rRNA from 1 species